GUACUCUGAAGGCUCCUGACCCCCAGAUGAGCAUCCUUGUGUCCGUUAACUUCUGUGUUUAUGAACAGGUGAGGCCAGAGACAGGCAGACAGCAGAUGUAUUGCAGGGAGCUGGAUGACAUGGCCCUUGGAACCUGUGCACAUGCCUGCCUUUCUGAUGCACGUCCAUGUUUUCUCUGCACCUCCCCGGUGGUGUUGGUAUAAAAAGCAGGCUUACAUCAGCAAGGGAUGAUUGUCGUCUCAUGCGAUCCUGGGAGAUGGCAGAAGUCCCGGGACACAUGGAGUGUGGGCUCUUUCGGAGGCUGUUGGAUCCCUCCUGAAUGUGUUGUGGCCAUGGAAGUAAGGCCAGUGGCUACGAGGGACAGUCUUCAUCUUGGGAGAUCCCUAGAGAGGGCAGGGAGCCCCUUGACAUGUGGAAUGUGAUCUCUGUUGGGUGCUGGUGGAUCCCACAGGUGGUCUGGCAUGGAAGAAGGCCAGAGGCUGCGAUGGAUCAUCUUUGUCUUGGGAGAUUCCUGGAGAUGGUGGGGAGCCCCUGGGCACGUGCAGCAUAUGUGGCGUGGGCUUCUUCAGGUGCUGGUGGAUCCCUCAGGAUGCUUUUCAAGGUUUUUCUAUGAGUUCUGUUAAAGAGUCUGAAAAUGGAGCGUAGAAGACAUGCUUCGAUUUCCAGGAUGGUUGUGUUUUCCAGAGAGGCGGAGGUAAACCACUGGCGCAGCCCUGCCUCCCACAGAUAAUUCCGGGUGCAGUGUUUCAUAUCUAGACUUGGACUUCUAUCCUACCAUACUUCUUUGUGUGCAGUUCAUUGUGGAACCAGCACAGAUUUUCAUACGAAAGUUAUUUCUUUUUAACCUCAAAAAGUGACAGAAUGGAGUGUAUCAUGAAAAAGUCUGACAUCAAAACCUCAAAAUGUGAUAUUGAUUGGGUGAGAUAGAAUUCCAUGGAAUUUCAUUGCCAAACCAGUGAAGUGCUAAUUUUGACAUUUGUACCAGCUAACGUAGCUGUGAAGAAACACACCAAUACACUUCUAAGGACAGCAUAGACCAAGAUCUAGGUUUCAUAUGGAUGAAUUUAUUCUUCCCUUUGAGGCAAGACAAGAAGGAAAGAAAGUAUUGGGAAUAAUGCUGCCCUCCCAUCCUCAAGGGCCAGUGGGAACUCUAAUAUUGAUUGGGUGAGAUACAAUUCCAUGGAAUUUUACCACUGAACCAGUGGAGGGCUAAUUUUGUCAUUUGUACCAGUUAACUAACUUGGGAGGAAACAGAACAACACACUCCUGAGAUUGGUUUUCACAGAAUUCCAUGGACUUUAACUGCUGAACCAAUGAUGCACUGAUUUUGUCACUUGUACCAGCUAACGCAUCUGGGAGGCAACAAAACAAUACUCUCCUGAGGUUAAUGUGGACCAAAAACUAGAUUUCAUAUAAAAGAGUUUAUUCCUUCUACUUGAGGUGUGACAUGAAGGAAAGUAAUGGAAAUAAUUCUGCCCUCCCAUUCUCAAGGGCCAGGGGGAAUUCAAAUAUUGAACGGAAGUGAUUUUGGAAUUGCAUGGAAUUCUCACUGCCAUCCCAAAGAAAUGCUGAUCUUGUCACUCUUACCUGUUUCAUUCCCUGGGGGCAGAACAAAAGGACGCACUCCAAAGAUCGGCAUGAACCAAGAACUGGGUUUCAUAUAAAAUAUUUUAUUCUGUCCUCUUGAGAUGUGACAUGAGAAAAGUAUUGAGAAUACUUCUAUCACCUCAUCUUCAAGAAUCCGUAGGAAUUCUCCCAUGGUGGACUUUACGGUUAACCUGAACAGGUCUUGGAAAAAGGACUUUAAACAUUCUCCUGUUCUGUGGAAUAAGUAUACUUUUUUCUGGACAUACACCUUGUCAGUUCCAUGUGAUACUAGAGUUGCAUAGAUUUUUAACCUUUACGCCAAUGAAGAUCUGAGGCAAACAUUGCCCCUUUUUUAGAAGUUUGCAUUUGUCACUGAUAACUGUAAUAAUUGAUCUUGUUGAAAAGCCUGGGAAAUGAAGAUCUGAUAUGUCACUUUUACCGGCUUCCUCAACUGAAAAAGAAUACAAUGAAACACGCUGAGAAUUUUUGUGCUUUCUCAGUCUUGCUGAUGAUCUUUCUAUGGGCCUGAAGCGUGGAGAGUGCCAGAGAGGCUGAUCCUCAGCAGUGUGGCAGAGGAAAGUUGGGUGCGACUAAGGGGUAUGCGGUGCCCACAUGCCACUGGGUCCUCAGCAGUACCACCUGAUUGGAAGUGAUAUUGGUGGAAGACAACAUUUUGCCGCUUGGAAUUCUCACCUCCACACCAAAGAAGUACUGUUUUUGUCAUUUGCACCAGCUUCUUUCUCCAGGAAAGAUCAAAACGAUGCACUGCAAGGUCAUGUAGACCAAAAUGUGAAUGUCAUAUGAAAGAGUUUAAACAUUGCCCUUGAAAUAUGACAGAAAGUAUCAGAAAUAAUUAUACCAUUCCAUGCUCACAGGCCAGUGGGAAUUCUCACAUGUGAUUGGUCCAGAUAGCUGCCUUAUCCAACUGCCUCCUUUGGACCACUUCAUCAUGGGACAGCUUGAUGCAAUCUACUUGACAAGACCCUGGAACCCCACACCCCUCAUGGAACCAGUGUCCACCUCCCAGUCACAGUGUGACCCCAGGGAACUCUUGCCUGCUUGCUUUAAACCCACCACUUAAAAGUCUCCACAGAAAACCUGUUUGAAUAGUACCCUUGACCCAAUAAGGGCAUUGGCCCCUGGGUGUCUCUCUCUCUCUCUCUCUCUCUCUCUCCCUCUCUCUCCCUCUCUCUCUCUCGCUCCCUGACCUCUGCGUGUGGACUCCAGGCAUGCCAUAUACCCCUCAGGACCUGAAGCAAAAGAAUGAAUUAAAGAAAACUCCAGAGAAUGAGCUGACAACCUACUCCCUGGUCAGUGGCUCUCCAUGCCUACCUGUGGUCUCUUGGACACCCUUGCAGAAGAUGACUUCCUGGGAACUCUUCUGGGAGUGAAUGUUAUCAGCAAAUUCCCAAAACAACACCCCUUAGACAAAAAGCCUCCUCACCUAUGCAUUGCCUAGACCACCCACUAAAGGUGAUGGCCACAAAGAGGUGGAUUUGUUGAGUUGGUGCCAUUCCUUCUACUGCCAGCUUCACCAAAACAAUGACACAGUCUUCCUUCCGCAUGGAGACUCUUCUCUUUCCUGUGUUGCAGUGGAUGCCUCCUGCAGAUAAGAAAUGCUUAACUGAGAAAUGCUCAUGUUGGGAUAUCAUCGAUGAGACUUUAAUUUGGGCAUGGUGACUGUUUCCCUUGCUGCCACUUGACUCAAUCCCAGGAGCCUCAGUAGAGGAUAUAAUAUUACACAAGAUGCUCAAAAUGGUGGAAUUGCUCAGUGCUCCCAUAAAUAUACAUUUAUAAUUUUCAUUUGCCACAUGGUAAACUGAAAAAUACAGACUAUAUUAAAAAGAAACUGCAUGAUUUUUUUUCAAAAAUUCAAAGCAUAUUUAAAUAAUAUAUAAAUUAAAUGCCCUCCUCUCUUCCAAUUCUGUCCCUAUAGUUUUCCUCUAUUAAGUGAACUACAUGCAUUCUUUUAGUGGAUAGAUGCACACAAACACACAAGCCAUUAUGGGGAAGGAUCCACGUGUGUGGCCAUAUUGUAACACAUUUUUCUGCAAAUCACCUCUUUCAUUUAACAGCCCUUAUUCAAUGGCCUUUUUCUUUUUCAGUAGUACAUACACAUCUGUGUCAUUUGUUGAAUGACGACAUGAAUGUUUUGUAGAUAAAAUAUAAUUAAAUGUUUUAAGCAUUUCUCACUCAUAGAUAUUUAUGUUAGCACCAAAUUUCUGUGCAAUGAACCUCCCUAUAUAUCAGUAAUUUUGCAUUUGUCUAUAAUAUCAUAAUAAAUUACUUAUCAGUUGAAUUACUGGGAUUAAGUAUGUGCACACUUUAUAUUUAUAUUUUGAAAAUUAUUGCAAGAUUGCCUUCAAAAAUGUGGUUAACAACUUUAUCUUCAAAUGGCAAUGAAUGAGAUUGCCAGCUUUCCUACAGCCUCACAGACAAUGGAUUUUAUAAAUAUUUAACAUUUUUGCCAAUGUGAUCACCCAAACUAUUGUCUUAAAUUGUAUCUCUUUUGUUUUUGAGUUUGGUCAUUUUUUCAUGUUUAUUAGCCAUCUGUAUUUUUUAAUUUCUUCUUUAUGUCCAAUUUUGUGGGUGGGAGGAGGAUUUAGUCUCUUCCUGAUUUCGAAGAGCUCAUUUACUAUUUCGGGAAAUAAGAUUUGGAUUGUCAACCAUUAUAGCUAUUUUUUACACACUUUUCAACUUUGUUUUUGUUAUAAGAAUGUGUAUGAUUGUUACAUGUCCAAGUAUAACCAUGUUCGCUUUUAUGGCUUCUGAGUUUCAUGUCAUUUUUGGAAAGAUAUAUAUAUUGAGUCCAUAAAACCCUUCACCUAUGUUAAAUUCUAAUUCUUUUGUGUUUUUUUAAUUCAAAUUCUUAAAUCAUGAGAAAUUUUUUUGUUUUGAAAUCUUAAAGUUGCCAAGUUACUUGCCAUUACUUGCGAUUAUUUGCCAAUAAUUGCCCAUUUAUCUGUACCGCCAUCUUGCGCAUAUGCUGUACUCUCAUCUGUGACUGGCUCCAUUUUUGUUCUGUGGAUUUGUGUGUCUCUUCUUCUGCCUCCUGUCUCGUGUCUGCUCGUUGGAAGAAAUUACAGUUUAGACUGCAAUUUCAUCAACUUUAAUAAAUCAAUUGAGGGGAGAAUUGGUUUUUAAAAAUAUUAAGUAAGUCUUCGUAUCCAAGGACAAGGUAUGUCUUUUCUUAUUCAAUAAUUUUAAUUACUGUUAAUAUUUUCACUGUGGUGAUGGGAGUUUUUCUUUUAAUUUAUUUUCUUGUUCAUUUUUUGUAUCUAAAGUUUUUGUUUUGUUUUGUUUUGGGGGUAAGUUGUCACCUUACUGUUUCUUGUUGCUUUUCAGAUUUUUUCAAAGUAUAGACUAAAUCCUUCACAAAUAUUUAAAGUUUUUAUUUUCCCCCUUCAUAUUGAUCCUGAUUUUAGUUAUGUUGACAAAGUCCACAGACUGUUACUAUCAGAACACUUGAACAGUUAUGGAAAUAUUACCUACCCUUGAUUUAAUCAGAGUUUAAUGGUAUGCUUCUUUGGUUUGACUGGCACAUUGUCGCUGGUCAUUUCCUCCCAAAGACCACCAGAAAGAGCUAUGAUCAAGCAAAGCUGAGUUUGUUAAACUUACCUGCAGCAAGGGAAAACACCACCUUGAUAGGGUUUAAUAAUGUUUCAAAAUCAAGAAAUGAGGCUUUGGGGUCUGGGCAGGGAACUAAUUAGAAAUGGGCAAAAUUUGUCAUGCAAUACCUUGUGGGAAAGUGAGAUGAGGUUCUUAAUGUGAGUAUUGAUGGUGAAAUCAUUUUCUAGGUGAGCUGUUUGCCUAUAUAAAGAUGUUAUCAAUGACAGAAGAACUAUUUGCCUAGAUAAACAAACUGAAUUUAUUUAUUGGUUUACAGUUUUAUCUUGCUGGGCAGGACUCUGCUGGGGGUGGUAUCAGGUCUUAUUCCCAAUAGGUAAGUUAUUUGGAUAUGGGUGGUCUUAAUCAUCAAUGUGUAAAAUGCUGAUUUUAAGUGCGAAAUACUUUGUCUACCAUGUUAGGAAAGUCUGCCACCUUUUAUCUUUUUUAAGGAAUUUUAAUCAAAACCAGGUGGUAGAUAUAAUCAAAUUGUUUUGCAGAAUCAAUUUUCCUGUUCUCUUUAAAGACUUUUAUCACUGUGAAUUAAUUUACUAUUAUUGCAACUUCCUUUAAUUCCUUGAAUGAACAGACCCUACUGGUUUUAAAAAUGUUUUAUUCUUUUAAUUUACUACUUAAUUGUGGGUAUUUUAAUUUGAUUUGGAAUUUUUACAAGUAUACAACUAAGUGAAAUUGAUCUGUGAUUUUUCUUUUUUGUGCUAUUUUUGUCAUGUUUUGAUAUCAGAUAUUCUGGUUGUGUUAAAAUAAUUUUGAGGAUUUUCUUCUUAUACUGUGUUCUAGAGUGGGUAAAAAAGCCCUAGUCUCACUAUCAGUGUUUAAGUGAACACAUCAGUGACAUCAUCUGGACUCUCCUUUGUUUUUGCUGGUUUGGAGUUAGGACAUCUAGAAGUUUUUUUCUUUUUUUCCUUUUUUUGUAUGGUUAUUGCUUGUUCUUUGUUUUGUGUCAAAUUUAACCUGUUUUCUCUUAGCAAAUCACAGCUCAUGCAGAUUUUCAAACACAUUAGCCUUGUUAUACAAAGUGUUCUUUCAUCAUUCUAUUAAAUUUCCAUUUUCAUUCCAGUUAUAGUUAUUUCUGCUGUGCCUUUGUUAAUGAAUAAGUUUAAACAGUGGAUGUUUAGCAUCACUAGCCUUCCCCUUCCAUCUCCCUUAAUCAGGACCUUGGUAUAAUUUAUCAGGUAUUUUUUAAGGUUCUAAUUUACUUAUAUAUAUUGUUUCUGUAUUCUUUUGUUUCUUUUCUUAAUAAAUUCUUAAA
rnacentral:lncRNA from 1 species